UACGAAGGGGGCUAGCGUUUGUUCGGAAUUACUGGGCGUAAAGCGCACGUAGGCGGAUAUUUAAGUCAGGGGUGAAAUCCCAGAGCUCAACUCUGGAACUGCCUUUGAUACUGGGUAUCUCGAGUAUGGAAGAGGUGAGUGGAAUUCCGAGUGUAGAGGUGAAAUUCGUAGAUAUUCGGAGGAACACCAGUGGCGAAGGCGGCUCACUGGUCCAUUACUGACG
rnacentral:rRNA from 1 species